GGAUCCCGCGCGCCACUCGACAAGAGCGCCCGCCCCGUCGCACUCUGCGCGCCGUCGGGAGCCCUGGGGCGCCCCGGCCCGUGUCCCUUUUUCUCCCGAAGUUUUCGGGGACUUCCUUCGCCGCCACCGGGCCACCUUCUCCCAUCAACUCGGUCUCUCAAGGGACCCGCGACGCUAGAGCUUGACCUCUCACGUUUGGCCGGUUCAGAAAUGACUACACGCGAAAACCAGAACUUUUUAAAAAGAGGACAUAUCAUUUGAUCCUCAUAUCAAAAUUGAUGAAGGAGAUAGUACCGUGACACAUCGUAAAGGACAGAAUUAUGGAGCAGACCACAGUGGCUUUUGCUGUUUCAGGGCGAAGCGACAUAGUGACUCUGAGGGACCGAGAAGGCGGGCACCCCGAGGACGACAUGUGUGUACAGUGCCCGGAAGGAAGAUGCAGGACACGCGGGAUCUGGAAGAAACGUCGGUCGGCCUUGAGAGAAAAAACCAAUUAAAUGAGGAAACAAAUUGUCGUAUCUCCAAAGUAGACGACUGUUAGCUGCCAGAUCGCUCCUUCCUGGCGCGUCACCAACAUCCAUCUUCCA
rnacentral:lncRNA from 1 species